AGUGAACGCUGGCGGUAGGCCUAACACAUGCAAGUCGAACGGCAGCACAGUAAGAGCUUGCUCUUACGGGUGGCGAGUGGCGGACGGGUGAGGAAUACAUCGGAAUCUACUUUUUCGUGGGGGAUAACGUAGGGAAACUUACGCUAAUACCGCAUACGACCUACGGGUGAAAGCAGGGGAUCUUCGGACCUUGCGCGAUUGAAUGAGCCGAUGUCGGAUUAGCUAGUUGGCGGGGUAAAGGCCCACCAAGGCGACGAUCCGCAGCUGGUCUGAGAGGAUGAUCAGCCACACUGGAACUGAGUCACGGUCCAGACUCCUACGGGAGGCAGCAGUGGGGAAUAUUGGACAAUGGGCGCAAGCCUGAUCCAGCCAUACCGCGUGGGUGAAGAAGGCCUUCGGGUUGUAAAGCCCUUUUGUUGGGAAAGAAAAGCAGCAGGUUAAUACCCCGCUGUUCUGACGGUACCCAAAGAAUAAGCACCGGCUAACUUCGUG
rnacentral:rRNA from 1 species